rnacentral:lncRNA from 1 species
GAAAACAUUGCUUUCUACUCUUCUGAGAGAGCAUGAAUACCUAGAAUACAUAAAGAACUCUCAGAAGGUGGCCCUCCCUGCUGGGCGCACUGUGAUGGCAAUCCUGUUUUAGAGACACCCUGGAGAAGUGGGCUUACUCCUCCAGCCCUGAGCAGUGGCCUAGUCUCUGAGGCCUUGAGCUGCACCCUCAUGUCUGAGAUUUGUUCCAUGUCAGGUGUGUCCAGUGAAACAGAGGAGACAACCUCAUUCCCACAGGCCUAUGAUCUCUGGGCCCACCAUGAGAAAGGCAGCUCUGCUGAUCUCUGAAGUCAAUACAUGUUUGGAACUGAACAGCUCUCUCCUAUCAUCCUGUGAAGCCCUGACUUCCAAUACUCCAUUUUUGUUCUAUUUCUGUCCUCUUCAAUCCCAGCUGGCAGUGUUUCUGCUAGCAUACCACCCUAUCUUCUCCUGGCUUUAGCUAAGAUGACGGAUUAGUUCUGUGGUUCACAUCCAUAGUAUCUUAUCAAAUUAUUUUCCAGCCACAUACAUCCUUGGUGUUCUCAUUAAAAUAUGCUUUUUCAUUUUUUGAAAUACAGAUUGACUGAGAAUUUUUCCAAAUCUUUAAGUUCUGUUUUUAUUUUUUUCUUAACAAUCCUUCAAUUUAUCUCUCUCCACUUAUAUUUUACUGUAAGUAGUAAGGAGAAAUCUGGCUGCACUCUCAAAGCCAUGCUUCAAAAUUUCUUCAGCUAACUAUCCAAGUUUAUGACUUGCAGUAGCUACUUUCCAAAAAACACUAGAACACAAUUAGAAAGCUUUUAUCACUUUAUAACAAAGAUUAUCUUCCAGUUUCCAACAUCAUGUUCCUCCUUUAUGUCUGAGUCUCACCAGAAUCAGCUGUAACAUCAAUAUCCCUGCCAACAAAAUUGUGAAGGAAAUCUAAGCUUUUGCUAGCAUGCACCUUAAAAAUUUCCCAGCCUCCAUCAAUCAUCCAGUGCCAUUGCUACUUCCACAUAUUUAGGUAUUUGUUACAGCAGAAUCUUAAAUCUAUCUUAGUCUUCUAGGGAUACUAUAACAAAAUAUCAUGAAUUAUAUGAUUUUUUAAUAAAAAGAAUUUAUUUUCUUACUGUCCUGGGGGCUGGUAGUUCAAGAUCAAGGUGUCAACAGGUUUGUCCUGAGGCCUCUCCUUGUAGUUUACAGAUGUCCUCUUUUUCCCUGGGUCCUCGCAUGUCCUCCUCUGUGUGCACCCAUCCUGGGUGUUUUUCCAUCUUCUUAAAAGUUCACCAGUUAUAUUGGAUUAGUGCCCCAUCCCCAUGGCUGCAUGUAAGCUUAAUUACAUCUUUAAACACUGUUUAUACCAAAUGCAAUCAUAUUUGGAAUUAGGGCCAUGACAUUUGAAUUUGAAAAGACACAAUGUAUUCUAUAAAAGCUACCAUACUUCACAACACUUUCAUGUAAUUGUUAAUGUACUAAUGGAGGUAUA